ACGGGGACCCGCACAAGCGGUGGAUGAUGUGGAUUAAUUCGAUGCAACGCGAAAACCUUACUACCCUUGACAUGUCCGGAAUCCCGAAGAGAUUUGGGAGUGCUCGCAAGAGAGCCGGAACACAGGUGCUGCAUGGCUGUCGUCAGCUCGUGUCGUGAGAUGUUGGUUAAGUCCCGCAACGAGCGCAACCCUUGUCAUUAGUUGCCAUCAUUUGGUUGGGCACUCUAAUGAGACUGCCGGUGACAAACCGGAGGAAGGUGGGGAUGACGUCAAGUCCUCAUGGCCCUUAUGGGUAGGGCUUCACACGUCAUACAAUGGUCGGUACAGAGGGUUGCCAACCCGCGAGGGGGAGCUAAUCCCACAAAGCCGAUCGUAGUCCGGAUCGCAGUCUGCAACUCGACUGCGUGAAGUCGGAAUCGCUAGUAAUCGUGGAUCAGAAUGUCACGGUGAAUACGUUCCCGGGUCUU
rnacentral:rRNA from 1 species